UCCUAAAGUUGGAUUAUGGAAGAAGUGUC
rnacentral:piRNA from 1 species